UACGUAGGGUGCGAGCGUUAAUCGGAAUUACUGGGCGUAAAGCGUGCGCAGGCGGUUCGUUGUGUCGGCGGUGAAAGCCCCGGGCUCAACCUGGGAAUGGCCGUUGAAACUGGCGAACUGGAGUGUGGCAGAGGGGGGUGGAAUUCCGCGUGUAGCAGUGAAAUGCGUAGAGAUGCGGAGGAACACCGAUGGCGAAGGCAGCCCCCUGGGCUGACACUGACGCUGAGAAGCGAAAGCAUGGGGAGCGAACAGGA
rnacentral:rRNA from 1 species